rnacentral:rRNA from 1 species
ACCCUUUAAUGUUUGAUGUUCUAACGUUGACCCGUAAUCCGGGUUGCGGACAGUGUCUGGUGGGUAGUUUGACUGGGGCGGUCUCCUCCUAAAGAGUAACGGAGGAGCACGAAGGUUGGCUAAUCCUGGUCGGACAUCAGGAGGUUAGUGCAAUGGCAUAAGCCAGCUUGACUGCGAGCGUGACGGCGCGAGCAGGUGCGAAAGCAGGUCAUAGUGAUCCGGUGGUUCUGAAUGGAAGGGCCAUCGCUCAACGGAUAAAAGGUACUCCGGGGAUAACAGGCUGAUACCGCCCAAGAGUUCAUAUCGACGGCGGUGUUUGGCACCUCGAUGUCGGCUCAUCACAUCCUGGGGCUGAAGUAGGUCCCAAGGGUAUGGCUGUUCGCCAUUUAAAGUGGUACGCGAGCUGGGUUUAGAACGUCGUGAGACAGUUCGGUCCCUAUCUGCCGUGGGCGCUGGAGAACUGAGGGGGGCUGCUCCUAGUACGAGAGGACCGGAGUGGACGCAUCACUGGUGUUCGGGUUGUCAUGCCAAUGGCACUGCCCGGUAGCUAAAUGCGGAAGAGAUAAGUGCUGAAAGCAUCUAAGCACGAAACUUGCCCCGAGAUGAGUUCUCCCUGACUCCCUGAGAGUCCUGAAGGAACGUUGAAGACGACGACGUUGAUAGGCCGGGUGUGUAAGCGCAGCGAUGCGUUGAGCUAACCGGUACUAAUGAACCGUGAGGCUUAACCUUACAACGCCGAAG